rnacentral:rRNA from 1 species
AACGAACGCUGGCGGCAGGCUUAACACAUGCAAGUCGAGCGCCCCGCAAGGGGAGCGGCAGACGGGUGAGUAACGCGUGGGAACGUACCCUUUACUACGGAAUAACUCAGGGAAACUUGUGCUAAUACCGUAUGUGCCCUUUGGGGGAAAGAUUUAUCGGUAAAGGAUCGGCCCGCGUUGGAUUAGCUAGUUGGUGGGGUAAAGGCCUACCAAGGCGACGAUCCAUAGCUGGUCUGAGAGGAUGAUCAGCCACAUUGGGACUGAGACACGGCCCAAACUCCUACGGGAGGCAGCAGUGGGGAAUAUUGGACAAUGGGCGCAAGCCUGAUCCAGCCAUGCCGCGUGAGUGAUGAAGGCCUUAGGGUUGUAAAGCUCUUUCACCGGUGAAGAUAAUGACGGUAACCGGAGAAGAAGCCCCGGCUAACUUCGUGCCAGCCGCCGCCGUAAAAC